rnacentral:lncRNA from 1 species
GGAUGUGCUGACACCUGGGUACCUACGAGUGCAAUCUCUCUUCCUUUAGCUUCAGACGGCUCCCCAGAACAAGAGGAGGUGUAAGGUAUUAGAAGACUGGAGAAGGAGAUGAAACAUCACAUGACUCAGCUGCGAUGGAGGAUGGCCUGCUUCCUUCCUUCACUGGCCAGCACUGGGUGAGACAGAGAGCCAGUUAGCGUGCCACACGGGUUCCUCUACAAGCCACUGUCAGCUGUGUUCCUUCGGGAUGACUGGGCCUGGUGUGCAGCAGGAACACAGUGUCCUCACCUGAAGCUGACCCCCUUCAGCUCUACUGCAGCCCGCUGUAGGCACAGAUGGCCACCAGUUUCCAUGUUUUCCGGAGCCGUGGACACCAACAGGAAGCUGUGGCAGCAGCAGCUUGUGAGACGGAAAUAACAAACCCUGAGAGGAAACCAAGCAUUCUGCACAGCUCCACAUGCACAAAGCGGCCUGCAGCAGGUGCAUGCGACAGCCGGGCAUGCUCCCCGUGUCGUCAUCACUUGGCAGCUCUUCCCAGAGACACAGAGGUGUCUCAUCACAGAGACUGCCCCAGGGCUGUCCAACUGGGGCCCACACUGUCAGCCCAGGUGCAGUGACUCUGCCGAGGUGACACCCAGUGCUGGCAAGAGUCCGGCACAAACCCCAGGUUACUGAGCCAAGCCACUGCCAGAUGAUGCACAACCUGAUCCCACAGCUGCAGCACUGGGAAUCCUCCUCAGUGUAAACGCUGCUUUUUGAAAAAGCUGCUUUUAAGUGUU